CACAGUCUAAUGGCCUACUGGUACUUGCUAAACAUUAAACUGUAUGGGAUAAAACCUGGGCCAUUUAAUCAACUCCUUCACUGUCUAUGCCCUGCCAGAAGGUCUGCCAUAGCAUCAUCUUUUUUUAAGGGAUCAGUGAGAAGAUAGACAGCGAUCUUCGCUAACAUCCACAGCCUCCUGAAACAGAAUCAGAAGCCCUAGUAAGGUACGGUUUUAUUAGAUAUCCAUCUCCCCACCUUAAAAUUCUCAAUGGCCCGCUCACAAAACUCAUACUUCAUUGAUCCUGCUCCAGAGUGUUGUUCUGCUGCUGCAGCAAAACUUUGCAAAGCAAGAUUUCCUCAAGAAUGAGAAAAAGGUAUUUUUUCCCUCAUUCUUGAAGCAAUGAUCUUGAGCUGGUUCUCUUACUAGUGAAUCUUGAAAAGAAUUUCACAUUCCUGACCCCAGCACCUUACAGUGCUAAUUUCAUUUAAGGACAUUUGGGUUUCUAAAGAGAUUCAUAGUUUUCUCUAUUGAGAAAAAGAAAUCCACACACAGAGAAAAAUUCAAUCAAAAUUUUUCAAGAACAAGAUUUCUGUUGCACAUAAUCUUCAUCACAGUAUCUCAUUAGAUGGCUCAAUAGAAGGCAGAACAGUCUUUAACCUUCUGCUGCACAGACUAAGUGAUAAACCAGAUGCAGGAUUUCAAACGUUUUACUUAAUCAUGACUCAUAAUGAGUGCUUAAUGAUGGAAGAGGGAAGGGGAGAGACAUUCAUAUUCUUUCCAUUUCCUCUUUAAAAUGGUUUCAACUGACCUUUCCUAAACGACCCACAGAUUAGGUUCCUAAUAACUUAUAAUUAAUAUUUUCCACAUGAUGCUCAACAUAUGAAAUCUGAUGUCUUCUUUCUAAUACCCAGCAAUUGUUAUAUUUAGUAACAGUUUAUGAACUUGACUUAAGCAGUGUAUGCAAGAUCUAAAAUUUGUUUUUGUAGAAGGUGCUACAUAAGUGCAAAAUACUAUUGUAGAAUAAAUGAAGAUACAAAUUGGUGUUAAGUAUGCA
rnacentral:lncRNA from 1 species